rnacentral:rRNA from 1 species
UACCAGCACCCCGAGUGGUCGGACGUUUUAUUGGGCCUAAAGCAUCCGUAGCCGGUUCUACAAGUCUUCCGUUAAAUCCACCUGCUUAACAGAUGGGCUGCGGAAGAUACUAUAGGGCUAGGAGGCGGGAGAGGCAAGCGGUACUCAGUGGGUAGGGGUAAAAUCCUCUGAUCCAUUGAAGACCACCAGUGGCGAAGGCGGCGACCUGGGCCAAUACUGACGCUGAGGUGCGAAAGCGUGGGAGCAACAGG